AAAAAAAAUAUGCUAAUAAUUACUGAACUUGAAUUAAGCUGAAUCAUUAUGGGUACUUAUAAAUGAGUAUACUUUUCAAGCUGAGACAAAACAAGCAGAAAACCUACAAACAGCGAAGCUGUCAGGACUCAUUUAAUGGCUUGCUGAAGAUGAUGUAUUCUCCCAUUAAGUGACACUGUUGCUCCCCAUCAUAUAGAGAAUCUUAGAACACAGUUGACAGAGAUGAGCAAUCCCUUCCAUCAAGCUCUUCAAUGAAAACACUUACACAGCAACAAUAGAUUCCGCUUCUUCUAAAACAAUAAAAAAGCCUGAAACAUCUUUAAUGUACUUGGAAACAACAUGGCUUUAAUUUGUAUAUUUAAUUUAUGUAACUGUUAAAAGUGCCUGGAAGUCAAGAUUAAAUGUUUUGGCAAAAACUUAA